rnacentral:snRNA from 1 species
CAAUCGCAGUCGCAUACG